GAAACUCGCCUACAUGAAGCUGGAAUUGCUAGUAAUCACAGGUCAGCAUACUGUGGUGAAUACGUUCCCGGGCCUUGUACACACCGCCCGUCACACCAUGAGAGUUGAGAAUACCCGAAGCCCAUGUCAAAGUGGUCGAAGGUAGGCUUGAUGAUUGGGGUGAAGUCGUAACAAGGUAUC
rnacentral:rRNA from 1 species